UUUAUUGUAGAUUUAUAUCGGGGAUUAUUACGUGAGGAGAAUACGUUAUAAGUUAAAUGCUUAUUAGAGAUAAUGCAAGUGGUUUAAUUUAAUUGAAGUUCAUUUUAAGAUUGUAGGUUAAGAGAAUUAUAAUUUAAAAUAAAGUUUUUUGUCGUAAAUAGGAAUUAUUUUCAAGAGAAGUUGGUUUUGUUUUCGUGCGCGUAGGAGACGAGACGUACGAAUUAAAUCAGUCGAGGAAAGGAUAAACGUUAGAAAGGAAUUAAAGAGAAAACGAGAGUUUAUGUAAAAGAGAGUUAUAGAAUUUAUAGUGAUGUUUUGUUUUAAUUAGAAAAAUGUUGAGAGUUGUUUCAGAACGACACGUCAGUGGACGUGGCAGAAUGAACACGUGACGGGGAGGUGCUGAGACCUAGCGGAGAACGGAGGAACCGCAAGCGAGGGUUGGCGCACCUGAUGGAAUUCGGUGACGUCACGGGCUCAUACGGAGACGUGGACAGGCCGUGACCUUGUUUUGAUCAGCUGUACGGUAACUUAACGAUAAGAAAAUAGACUAUUGGUUAAAUAAAUUUAAAUUUAAGUGUGUUUUAGGAGAAGAGGAACUUUCAGUAUAUUCCUUAAGAUGAGCUGAGCAGCAGUCCAGUUUACAAGAUGACAAGAGUUCGAGAGACAAGAUACAAGAUCACUGAAACAAGAGCCAAGACUGAAGAUUCAAGAGAAGAGAAAGCUGGCAGCCAUGGACUUACAAGUGGAGAUUAAUAAGGUCAUGUAAAGUUUUAUUUUUUUUUAUGGAAGACAGUAACUGGAGUUUUUUUUUUGUUAUAAACAUUAUUUACAGAACUUUUUAGGUUAUAGUAAUGUAAUGGAACUAGUGAGUUGUGGUAGCUGUCAAAAAGAACUAAUACCUUAAGUUUAAUUUUUAAAGUUAAUUUUCUUAAUUUACAGAGGGAUUAGUAGUUUUUUUUUAAACCUUAUUUAGGUUGGAAUUUAAAUACAAUAGCUUAUUAUAAAUGUGUACGAACAGUUCAAGUUCACAGUACUGAUAGGUAGGUCAGAUGAUCUUAUUGAUUUUGAUGAUUUGUUGUUUUGAGUUGAUUUUUAAGUGUUGUGAAUUAGACAAUGAAAUAGUUCUGAAAACUUAAAUUAUUUCAAGCUAAGAAAUAGUAAAGUUAAUUGUAACUCAAAGGACACCAGAAUUUAAUUUUUUUUUGAAUUAGUAAUGUUUGAAAAUUUUAUACUUUACAAGAAAGGUUAUAAACAAACAGAUCGGAUGGAACAAGGAUGCAGUAAAUCACAAUUUCAUUUAGAAUUAUUGAUUAGCUUUUGAGGUUAUGAAGUAAAAGUAAUUAUAGUUUAAAAGUUUGAAUAAAAAAAAAAUGUUUUUUUUUAUUUGUUUGAAAUAGAAAGUUUAAAAGUUAAUUAGUCAUGAUCUAGGUGGGUGAUGGGGUGGGAAUUGGCCACUCUUUUUCCCUAUAACCUCCCUAACAUGGCCUUCUAUUACAACUAACAGAAAUAAAGAAGAAGAAAAA